rnacentral:lncRNA from 1 species
AUGGGGGACCGCAGCCCAACGGGGAUCCCUGCGAGGCAGCCAAUGACCUCGCGCCGCUCUCCACCCCCCGCCCUCGCCAACCCCGCGCAGCUGGACCAUUGGUGCUGGUGGGCUGGGGGGGGGCGUGUGCGCGGCGGCGCCGGCCCUUGGAGGAAGGGGGCGUGGCUUGGAGUCCCGGGCCCUCUCCUGGACUCGGGCUUAGGCCCCUGCACACUCCCCACCCCGGGUCGCCAGGCCAACUGGCCCGGCUGCGGCGCCGUGGCGGCGGUGGACGGCGAGGCGCGCGCAGUGGGCGUGGCCCGAGGGCGUGGCCCGGCGGGAGGCGGGGCCGCGGGCGCUGCCUCCGUGAAAGCCCGAGCUGCGGCGGCGGGGGCGUCCGGACGGUGUGUGCGCGCGUGUUGGGGCGCAGGCUCGGCAGCGGCGGCGGCUCAGUCUGCGGCGGCGGCAGCGGCCCGUCUGGAGCGGCCGCGGCGAGGAAGCCAGCUGCAGCGGGGGAGGCGCAGCCGGGACUACGCGCUCAGCGGAGCCGGCGGGCACCGAGAACAGGUGAUCCCAGCGGGAACCCGGAGCCCUACGGAGAGUUGGAGGGGCGGGAGCCCGCACUACCCCCCCACCCACCCCAUCCCCAGCGCAGCUGCAGCCGCCCCCGCCGCUGCUGGUCGCGAACGGCACUACGCCCCGGACCCGGCUCAGGCAUCCCUCCGCUCCCGGGAGCCCCCCCAGGCCCCUGCCUCGCCUGGCUCAGAAGUGCCUGACCACCACCACCCCCAGCUCCCCGGCGCCCGCCCCGCGGCGGAGCAAAGUUGUGGACGUGUCCCGAUAGCCAAAGCCCCCAGCGCUGUCGCGACCCGGCCGCUCCAGCGCUCUCUCGGAGCGCCACUGACAGCCCGGCCGCGUCGCCCCCCCGCCCCCGGGAGUCGACCCCUUCGGGAAACUGCUUCUGAGGCUCAAACUUUGGGCCGGGGUGGUUGGGGGUUGCUGAGGGCGGCUCAGCUCGGGGACGAGGCCUGCGGGCGCCCCUCCUCGUGGACAAGCCUGGGCGCCUCGGACGGCAUGUGA